rnacentral:lncRNA from 1 species
GUAGCAACUGCCUCAUCUUUUCCAUCUAUGGAGUGUGGAAUAUGUGCCCUACUUCAUUCAGGAAUGUUGGACAAACCGGCUAUUUAGAGAGUGAAGGAGAGGAACUUCCGAGAGCAACUGGCCCCCAAGAGAAACCCAGGGACUCCUGCCCUUCGGCAGCUUUGUCCAUGUGCUGCUCACACCAAAAAGCACUCGAGGGUGACCUGCACCAAAAAUGCAUUGCCGUAGUCUGGGCACAGUGGAUCACGCCUGUAAUCCCAGCUCUUUGGGAGGCCAAGAGAAGUUAGAACACUUGAAAUCAGCUAAGCGAGAAUGCCAUCAGCAGUGCAUCGAUCUCAGCUGCAUCCAGGUGUAUCAGUUGAAUGGCAGAGGGACUAGAAAUUACAUUUCAUGAAGAAAACUUACAGAACUGAAGAUAUUUAGGCUGCAAAAGAAAAGACUAAGGUAAGCCUGUGGGCAGGUUAAGGUUUAAAACACUAAGAGUUCACCUGUAGACUAAUGCUUAGAAAGAGAAGACAAGAAAAAUGAGGAACGGAAUACAGAGAAACAAAUCUUGGCUUAUUUUAAAUCCUUUUCAGAGAACAGUAUACAAGCAUGGUGAAGAGUGAAAUGUCUACUGCUAAACUACAGAGGUAUCCGAUACAGGUUCUUAAGUGCUGAGGGACUUUGCAUAAAUUACUGAGGCUGUGGUUUUGGUUUUCUCCAGUGUAAAUAGUGUUGAAUACAGUAUCCAUAAAAUACCUGAACAGGUUGAGAAAGGAAAUGUGUAUAAAGUGGUUAAAAAGAGACUGACACAAAGUAAGUGCUCUAUAAAAAUUGCCUGUAAAAAAUAAGACUACCACAA